AUUGAACGCUGGCGGCAGGCCUAACACAUGCAAGUCGAACGAGUGGCGGACGGGUGAGUAAUGUAUGGGAAACUGCCCGAUAGAGGGGGAUAACUACUGGAAACGGUGGCUAAUACCGCAUACUAUCGGAUGAACCCAUAUGGGAUUAGCUGGUAGGUGGGGUAAAGGCUCACCUAGGCGACGAUCCCUAGCUGGUCUGAGAGGAUGACCAGCCACACUGGGACUGAGACACGGCCCAGACUCCUACGGGAGGCAGCAGUGGGGAAUAUUGCACAAUGGGCGCAAGCCUGAUGCAGCCAUGCCGCGUGUAUGAAGAAGGCCUUCGGGUUGUAAAGUACUUUCAGCGGGGAGGCGUUACCCGCAGAAGAAGCACCGGCUAACUCCGUGCCAGCAGCCGCGGUAAUUC
rnacentral:rRNA from 1 species